CGGGAAACUGGGGAUAAUACCGGAUAUAUGGAGAUGCCUGGAAUGGUACUCCACUUAAAGCUCCGGCGCCUAAGGAUGGAUCUGCGGCAGAUUAGGUCGUUGGUGGGGUAAUGGCCCACCAAGCCUAUAAUCUGUACGGGUUGUGAGAGCAAGAGCCCGGAGAUGGAACCUGAGACCAGGUUCCAGGCCCUACGGGGCGCAGGAGGGGCGAAACCUCCGCAAAGGGAGCCAUCGCGACGGGGGGGACCCCAAGUGCCACUCUUAACGGGGUGGCUUUUCUUAAGUGUAAAAAGCUUUUGGAAUAAGGGCUGGGCAAGACCGGUGACAGCCGCCGCGGUAACA
rnacentral:rRNA from 1 species